rnacentral:rRNA from 1 species
UACGUAGGCAGCAAGCGUUGUUCGGAGUUACUGGGCGUAAAGGGUGUGUAGGCGGUUUUUUAGGUUUGGUGUGAAAUCUCCCGGCUCAACUGGGAGGGUGCGCCGAAUACUGAAAGACUAGAGUGCGGGAGAGGAAAGUGGAAUUCCUGGUGUAGCGGCGAAAUGCGUAGAUAUCAGGAGGAACACCGGUGGUGUAGACGGCUUUCUGGACCGUAACUGACGCUGAGACACGAAAGCGUGGGUAGCAAACAGG